AGCCUAGCUCUGCGGUUGCGUCCUGGGAUGGCGCGAAUUCUGGGGCUACGUGCGGGUCCUCCUCCCCACCAUUUUUUAAGGAGAAAGGAAUUCGUUCAUUCUCGGGGGUGCUUGGUGUGACCUGCUUGCUGCGUCUCCGCCGCGGGAUCCCCGGCAUCCGAGGCGUGUAGGACGAGGUUCUGGGAUUCAACAUGAGGGUUUUUCUCCUCUCGUGCAGCCUCCGGGGUCAGCCUAUUAAGUGACCUCAGAGUGUCGGUCCAGCCUCCAGGUCUGGGCACCUCCGAACACCCUGGAACCGCCCCUUGGGAACGAAUACAGGGAGAGAGGCAGAGACACAGGCAGAGGCAGAAGCAAGCUCCAGCCUGAUGUGGGACUCCAUCCUGGGACUCCAGGAUCACAUACAGAGCCAAAGCUGGACGCUCAACCACAGAGCCACCCAGGCAUCCCUCAAAUAAAUCAAUCUUUAAAAAUAAAGCGGAUGUCAGAAUAACGUG